AAACCAUGGUGAGGACAUCACCUCAAAAGAUCCUUGACCCUUUCAUGGGCUUCGAAGAGUGUAUCUGAAUCACCUUGAUUGAAAGUAGAAAUCUCGUGUCUUAGUCU